rnacentral:rRNA from 1 species
UACGUAGGGACCAAGCGUUGUUCGGAUUUACUGGGCGUAAAGGGCGCGUAGGCGGCGUGGUAAGUCACUUGUGAAAUCUCUGAGCUUAACUCAGAACGGCCAAGUGAUACUGCUGUGCUAGAGUGCAGAAGGGGCAAUCGGAAUUCUUGGUGUAGCGGUGAAAUGCGUAGAUAUCAAGGGGAACACCUGAGGUGAAGACGGGUUGCUGGGCUGACACUGACACUGAGGCGCGAAAGCCAGGGGAGCAAACGGG